UCCCUCCUGCUGAACUCUUCCUACCCGGGCUCUGAACACAUCCCUGAGCUGCAGAGCUGACGUCUGGGUGACAGUGAAACGGGGUAUUCAUUUGUACCAAAACAAACAAACAAACAAACAAAACCUGGAAUGACGGUGUGUGGAUUUCUUGUGUGCUUAUUCGUAGGAUUGAGAAAGGGUGAGGCUAAGGUCCCGAGCCUUCGUGAAGCAAUGGAGAAAGUGCCGUCCCAAGGCUCAGUUCCACACGGCGCUGUGAGGCUGAAGGGGCUCACUGGAAGUUCCCCUCACAGGACGCCACCUCACCUGAAACCCUCUUUUUCUGCUACCAUCCAAGGGACAAGAUCUCCUGAGUUGUCGAAGACUCACUCCGGAAGAAAACCCUCUCAGGCAGUUACUGAGGGACUGUGGUCUGGACUAGAACGUGUUUUUCUCAGUGACACCUCUAGAGGGCAGCACUCAACGGAGUCCCACAGACACCUCCCUGCAUUUCCUCCUCAGACACUGGGUGGAUGAUAUGGUAACACUGGGGAAUGCUUGGGUGUUCUCCUGGAAGCUCCUUAUUUUAAUCACCUGUUUACUUGUCUCCAUUCUUAUAGAUAUGUAGGCUACCCGAGGGCAGAGACUGAGUCUGUCUUGUUCACUGUCUACCUCCAGAACCUCACACAGAAUCUGGCACUUAGUAGGUGCACAACAAAAUAAUCAUUGAAUUAGUAUACUGAGUCUUUAACAGAGUCUCUUUCUGUUUAUUGAGUUGACACGAUGUAUCCAAAAGCAGCUGAAUGCACAACUCAAACUGUCAUCCAAGCACACAAAGAAGGCAUUGAUGAAAAAGCUGAGACAGGUUACAACGGGAGUGCCAGAGAGAUGUCACUUAAAAUGAGAACUUCUCAGGGUUUGAGAAAGGUGAGUCCCAAGCCCUCGUGAAGCAUUGGAGAAAGUGCCGCCCCGAGGUUCAGGUCCACACAGCGCUGUGAGGCUGAAGGGGCGCGCUAGAAGUUCCUUUCACAGGACGCCACCUCACCUGAAACCCUCCUUUUCUGCUGACACCCGAGGGACAAGAUCUUCUGAGUUUUUCCAUUACUUACUCUGGAGGAAAACCCUCAGGCAGUUAGUUACUGAGGGACUCUGGUCUGGACUGGGAAGUGUUUUUCUCAGUGACACCUCUAGAAGGCAGCACUUAGCGGAGUCCCACAGACACCUCCCAGCAUUUCCUGCUCAAACACUGGGAGGAUGGCCUGGUAACACUGGGGAAUGCCUGGGUGUUCUAGAAGCCCCCACCCCUGAUUUUAACCACGUGUUUUCUUAUCUGAGUCCUUGUAGACAUGUAUGUAGUCUGCCUUAGGGCAGGAAUUGUGUCUACCUUGUUCACUGCCAAUCCUCAGGACAGAACCUGGCACUUAAUAGGUGCACAACAAAAUAACCACUGGCUGAAUAUACUCAGUAUUUAACAGGCAGUUUGUCACAAUCCACUCCCUCCCUGACCUCAUUGUGGUUUAUAGUUUAUGUUUAAUGACAUUUAGUUUCCAUGUACUUAGCAUUUUAUUGUAUAAAUUUCUCAUAUAUAUAAAAAAUACACAUAAAAUACAAUGGUCCUCUUUGUUUCAAUCAUCUAGCUGCAGUAAUCACCAACCCAAGCCUGUCUUUCAUUUGUAUGCCCAGCUUCUCUCCUCCUCUGUCAUAAUAUGAAACAAAUCUGAGGUAUCAUAUUAUCUCAUCCUAAAUACUUCAGUGUGUAUCUCUGAAACAUAACAGAAACAUCAUACCUAACAUCACAAAAUGACACUAAAAAAUUUAACAGUAAUUCUUUAAUAUUAUCUAACAUUCAAUCAAUAUUCAGGUUUCUAAUUUUUAUGUGUCAUAAGUUAUAUUUUAUAGUUUGUUUAAAUCCUAAUGCAAAUAAGGUCCACUCAUUGUGAUUAGUUAAUUCUUUUCAAAAUAUAUUUUAAUUGUUCAUGUGUUCUUUUUCAUGUGCUCUUUAAUGGACAGAUUUUUAAAUUUUCAUUUGGUAAAAUUUGUCCAUUUUAAAAAAAUAACUGGGGAUGCUUUUAUUUGAGGCCAAAAUAUUCACAGGUCAUCUAGUAUGGAAGUCUCUUGGCUUACUAAAAUAUUUUGAUACAGUCAAUUAGGUCCAACUUAAGAUGACCUAACU
rnacentral:lncRNA from 1 species